rnacentral:rRNA from 1 species
UGGGGAAUUUUGGACAAUGGGGGCAACCCUGAUCCAGCCAUGCCGCGUGUGUGAAGAAGGCCUUCGGGUUGUAAAGCACUUUCGGACGGAACGAAAUCGCGCGGGUGAAUAUCCCGCGUGGAUGACGGUACCGUAAGAAGAAGCACCGGCUAACUACGUGCCAGCAGCCGCGGUAAUACGUAGGGUGCGAGCGUUAAUCGGAAUUACUGGGCGUAAAGUGUGCGCAGGUGGCUUCGCAAGUCGAGUGUGAAAUCCCCGGGCUUAACCUGGGAAUUGCGCUCGAAACUACGGAGCUGGAGUGUGGCAGAGGGAGGUGGAAUUCCACGUGUAGCGGUGAAAUGCGUAGAGAUGUGGAGGAACACCAAUGGCGAAGGCAGCCUCCUGGGCCAACACUGACACUCAUGCACGAAAGCGUGGGGAGCAAACAGG